AACAUCGCGCACCUGCGGGAACCUGCGGAGGGAUCAUUAACACUAAUGUCCACUUUGUUGUCUUGAUGCGAGCUGUUGCAUGUUCACGCAUGCGACGCUCCAUCAGGCAACAAUAAGCACCCAGUGAUUUUGUUGAAGUGAAAACAUCAAAGGGUAGCCAGCAAUGGUUGCCUGUUUUCACCCCUUAUAAACACCUAAAUUCAAAACCUUAAGCCUAAAACGUGGAACACUGCUACGUCU
rnacentral:misc_RNA from 1 species